ensembl:lncRNA
GUAUAAGGAAAUCUGUUGCACUUAAAUUAAAAAGGAAACAGCCUAGAGCGGCCUGAUGGGUACAGUUUGAAUGCUUUUCUGCCACUGGAGGCUUUACUCAAAUCUGCUUUAAUUUUUCCACCUGGCCUGCUUGUCAGGAAGUUCCAAGGUAAAAGUUCUCAAGUACUUUCUCAAUGAUGAGGAAGAGAGGUGAAGUGGCAAGAAAGCUGGGAUGGUUUGAGAAUUGUAUCCACCUACUAAAAGUCAAGAAAAGAAGGAGGAAGAAGAGGAGAAGAAUGAGCAAGAACAGAAGACCCUCACAAAUGGCACAAGAGCCAGAGUAAGUUGAAGCAAAAGGGUGUGAUUAAACAGAGGAUGAUGGCCAAGACAAAACAGAAUAACGCACCAGGGUCAAAGCAGAAGAUGAAAUAGAAAAUAAUGAGUCAAAUUUCAAAUCUCUGCCUAUAGAAUAUUCUUCGUAUAUAUAUAUAUUUUUUUAAUAUUUUAUUUUUUCUUUUUCUCCCCAAAGCCCCCCGGUACAUAGUUGGGUAUUUUUAGUUGUGGGUCCUUCUAGUUGUGGCAUGUGGGAUGCCGCCUCAGCAUGGCUUGAUGAGCUGUGCCACGUCCACGCCCAGGAUUCGAACUGGUGAAACCACAGGCUGCCGAAGAACAGCACGCGAACCCAACCACUCGACCGUGGGGCCGGCCCCUCUUCAUAUAUUUUCUUAAAGAGAGGUGCAUCAUUUGUGAAGCAUGAAUAGUGUCAAGAACUGGCCCUCAACUUAAAAAUUAGCAAAGUUGCCUUCCACUCAAAAUAAGAGCUGUUGUUUAUCCUGUGUACUUUUUAAGUUUACCUUAAUCACAAGGUUUUGGGGAAGGAAAGAGGGUACUAUAGGAGUGUCAGUCUUGAUCAAUUUUUAUCUUUUCUCUGUCUCAUACAGCAGUAAAUAUUAUUCAGCAUGGAUGUCCAGGUCAGCUGAGGGCUGCUGAUCUAGGUGGGCUCGCCUAGAUGGCUUUGCAGAUCUUGACUGGAGCACUCAGGCAUCUCUCCUCCUCUUGAGUAAGACAUGUGUGUUCUCAUGGCAAUGAGCAAGCUUAGUUACAUAGGUGUUUCUCACACCUCUGCUAACACUCUUGACAGAGCAAGUCACUACACCAGGAACAUACGAUACGGUGGGAGAAGCUUCGAAGUUACAUGAUAAAGGGAGUGGAUAUGUGGCGGGAUAACGAAUUGGAGACAUUCCUCCAAUCUCCCACACUCUUAUUGUUUUCAAUUCUUUAUUAAUCUGUUCAUUAAAAAUUUGCUGAGUGUUGUGAACAUCUGUCAUAAUCAUGGUGACUCCUCCUUUUAUUUGCACAUCAUUUUGUAAACAGUUUUCCUCUAUCUGGGGGGAAAUGUCCAUGAUUUGAUGCCAGAAGACAAAGGCAUAAAGCAGGUGCUGCCUGUGGCUUGGAGCUUCCAUUUUGCUCGUCAUGGUGGCAAAGAAGACCUGGUUGGCAGGAGCCACAGCAGGGUCUCUCCAGUGGUAGCCAAGUCAAAGUAUUCAUGCAGAAGUUGUAUUGGGCCUGUGACAGUAGCAACUGCAAUAAAGAUAAAUUUCUG